rnacentral:rRNA from 1 species
AGUGAACGCUGGCGGUAGGCCUAACACAUGCAAGUCGAACGGCAGCACAGUAAGAGCUUGCUCUUACGGGUGGCGAGUGGCGGACGGGUGAGGAAUACAUCGGAAUCUACUUUUUCGUGGGGGAUAACGUAGGGAAACUUACGCUAAUACCGCAUACGACCUACGGGUGAAAGCAGGGGAUCUUCGGACCUUGCGCGAUUGAAUGAGCCGAUGUCGGAUUAGCUGGUUGGCGGGGUAAAGGCCCGCCAAGGCGACGAUCCGUAGCUGGUCUGAGAGGAUGAUCAGCCACACUGGAACUGAGACACGGUCCAGACUCCUACGGGAGGCAGCAGUGGGGAAUAUUGGACAAUGGGCGCAAGCCUGAUCCAGCCAUACCGCGUGGGUGAAGAAGGCCUUCGGGUUGUAAAGCCCUUUUGUUGGGAAAGAAAAGCAGCAGGUUAAUACCCCGCUGUUCUGACGGUACCCAAAGAAUAAGCACCGGCUAACUUCGUG